GGGGGGGGGGGGGGGGGGGGGGGGGGGGGGGGAAGGGCUCAGGACACGACGUCAUUGGGAAAGGGCAAAGCCACGAGUCUCUCCAACUGCUCGGGCUGGCUUCCCUUUGCAAUUUUUCUCUCGCGCUGCUCCGCUCCAGAUCGGUGCGUCCUUUGCCAACAGCGAGCGCCGCUGCCAAAGGAGACUUUAGCGAAGAGGAAAGAGCGGGACUCAACUUCCUCCAGCUUGGUAGAGCAACGCACCCGCUCGGGUCCGUCGCCCCACCCCGAGGCCAGAGAAGAGACCCCCGAGGCCCGGAGUAUUUCCAUGAGGUCCUCAUAAGGCAGGAGUGUCAAAUUGGCAGCCCGCAGGCCGGAUGCGUCAUGCACAGGACACGCCCACCCCAGCUCUGCGAAGAGAAAAAAAAGUCACGAUAUGUCACGUGAUGGCAACAUGACUCCACGAGUUUGAAACCCAUGUCAUAAGGCAACCUUGUAGGGUUGUUGUCAGGAAAGUCUAAGAUAUUAUGACUGGCUUCAGUUUUGUGACUGGGGGGGAUCAGAACAAAUCUUGGAUUGCAAUAUGCAAAGGAAGGAGAAAUUAUUGUAAAAUUAACAUUUCAGCAGCAAAACCACAAAAUAUAUUAUUUUCCAACAAGGGAGUUUACAUUUUGGAAACAAUUUACUUCUAAGCAUUAUAUGAAGGGAAGAAAUAAUAGGAUGAAUAUUGCCUCUGGGCCCUGUCUAGAAAAUAUCUAAUUCACCAACUAAUGCCACUGGAGACAGAAGGUAGAGCUGGAGAGAUUUUUGGGUUAGCUAAAUGAAGCCUCCAUGUUUAGAGGCAAUAUACCUCUGAAAACCAACAGAUGGGGGGUGGGGACCACCAACAGAGCAAAACUUCAUGCCUUCAUAAGUUGUUUGUGGGCUUCCUGGAGGCAUCUGGCUUGCAGCUGUUGGAAACAGGAUGUCGGAUUAGAUGGACCUUGGUUUGAUCCAAGAAGACAUGCCAGCUCUUCUCUGGGUUUCAAGAAAAGACACUACUACAGAGCUAUUUUGGUGCAUUAUGAGAGGAAAUAUCUUCAAUAUUGUGCAUAUUAUAAAUAUAAGCCAUCCCGGAUUCUAGAAAGAAGUUAAACUAUAAAUAUCAAUAAAUAAAACGUUGUGUUCUUUUUUCAAUUUGUUGUAAUCUUGGCAAAAAGAGGAAUACCCCCCCCCCGAAAAAAAACCAUAAAAAGCAGAAUAAAAUGUCUUCUCUGCUAUGGAUAAAA